rnacentral:lncRNA from 1 species
AUGAUGACCACGUUCAAGAAAAACAGGAAGAAGAGAGGCCAUGUCAGCGCCGGUCAUGGUCGUAUCGCAAAACACCGUAAGCAUCACGGAGGUCGCCGUGACAAUAAGGCGAUGGCGGUUGAAGAUGUUGAUUCACGGGAACCGAGAUGGCAGACGGUAUUGGAUUCUUUUAACGAGGGAGAAGUGAUUGUUGACGUGAUUCGAUUUGGAUUCAAGGACGGGUAUUGUUGGGGAAUCGGGUUCAAUGGGAAAGUGUUUAUCAUUCCUAACUUCAAGAGAUCAAUUUAG